rnacentral:sRNA from 1 species
UUAACAUCCCUGUAGCCUGAAAUCUUCUAUGUCUCCACUAUACAGAUAUAGCAAGAGCAACAGCAGUGUAAGCUUCCCCACUCAACCCUACCAAUGAAUCUAAUCCUGGCUUUUGAUGGACCACUUCUAGGAGUAAGAAGAUAAUUCAGUCUCCACGACCUGGACUCUUGUACGACUGCCAGU